AACGAACGCUGGCGGCAUGCCUAACACAUGCAAGUCGAACGAGACCUUCGGGUCUAGUGGCGCACGGGUGCGUAACGCGUGGGAACCUGCCCUUAGGUUCGGAAUAACUCCCCGAAAGGGGUGCUAAUACCGGAUAAUGUCUUCGGACCAAAGAUUUAUCGCCUUUGGAUGGGCCCGCGUUGGAUUAGCUAGUUGGUAGGGUAAAAGCCUACCAAGGCGACGAUCCAUAGCUGGUCUGAGAGGAUGAUCAGCCACACUGGGACUGAGACACGGCCCAGACUCCUACGGGAGGAAGCAGUGGGGAAUAUUGGACAAUGGGCGAAAGCCUGAUCCAGCAAUGCCGCGUGAGUGAUGAAGGACUUAGGGUUGUAAAGCUCUUUUACCCGGGAUGAUAAUGACAGUACCGGGAGAAUAAGCUCCGGCUAACUCCGUG
rnacentral:rRNA from 1 species